rnacentral:rRNA from 1 species
GACGAACGCUGGCGGCGUGCCUAAUACAUGCAAGUAGAACGCGCAGUUUAUACCCUAGCUUGCUACACCAGAGACGUUGAGUUGCGAACGGGUGAGUAACUCGUAGGGAACCUGCCUGGUAGCGGGGGAUAACUAUUGGAAACGCUAGCUAAUACCGCAUCAUAUUGAUUAUUGCAUGAUAAUUGAUUGAAGGAUGCGAUUGCAUCACUACCAUAUGGGCCUUCGUUGUAUUAGCUAGUAGGUGAGGUAACGGCUCACCUAGGCGACGAUACAUAGCCGACAUGGGAGGGUGAUCGGCCACACCGGGCCUGAGAACCGGCCCAGACUCCUAAGGGCGGCAGCAGGAGGGAAUCUGCGGCAAUGGACGAAAGUCUGACCGAGCAACGAGGCGUGCGUGAAGAAGGUUUUCGGAUCGUAAAGCUGUGUUGUAAGAGACGAACGGGUGUGAGCGUGGAAAGUUCCCACUGUGACGGUAUCUUACCAGAAAGGGACGGCUAACUCCGUG